CGGAGUAACGCGUGAGGAACCUGCCUCAAAGAGGGGACGAACAGUUGGAAACGACUGCUAAUACCGCAUAAGCCCACGGCUCGGCAUCGAGCAGAGGGAAAAGGAGCAAUCCGCUUUGAGAUGGCCUCGCGUCCGAUUAGCUAGUUGGUGAGGUAACGGCCCACCAAGGCGACGAUCGGUAGCCGGACUGAGAGGUUGAACGGCCACAUUGGGACUGAGACACGGCCCAG
rnacentral:rRNA from 1 species